rnacentral:lncRNA from 1 species
AUACCCCAUUGAAUUGAUGUGCACCAAGAAGAGUUCAUUAUAAAACUAUGCCGUUUUGCUUGAAAUGGAUUAAAAACUUUCACUAAGGUAUACACCUUCUCAAUCUCAUCGAAGAAUCUUAAGGAUUUUCUAGUUUGCUUCUUUACCUCAUAUCUGAAUUCUUUGAACUUUUCAAAGGUUUUCGAUUUGUAUCUCACACAUAUAUC